rnacentral:lncRNA from 1 species
AAAUGAAGAGAAGCCUUCAGAAAUGAAGGAACAGAGGUCAUGGGAGAGGACAAAGAUGGCUCUACACUUGCUCUUAUAGCCAUUCCGGGGCAUCUAUCUGCCUAGGAUAAGAUUGUGAUGCUGCUGAAGAUAACAAGCAGAAAUUCAGUUCUCACAUUCCAAGUUGGAACGUGAGCCAAGCUACCAUCUCCAGAAAUUGUCAGAAUCCCUUUCUUUCCUGCACUUUUAUGUCCACAAUCUGACUUCAUCACCUAAUUUUAGCAACCUCCAAUUCUCACCUGGAAUAUAGGAGCAAGAAAGUCUCAUUUUCCACUGAAAGAUGAGUGGAAGUCCUGUCUUGUCUCCUGUUCAGUUUUCUCCAGUUUAAA